rnacentral:rRNA from 1 species
CCCAGACUCCUACGGGAGGCAGCAGUGAGGAAUAUUGGUCAAUGGUCGGGAGACUGAACCAGCCAAGCCGCGUGAGGGAUGAAGGUACAGAGUAUCGUAAACCUCUUUUGUCAGGGAACAAAGGCGGGGACGCGUCCCCGGAUGAGUGUACCUGAAGAAAAAGCAUCGGCUAACUACGUGCCAGCAGCCGCGGUAAUACGUAGGUGGCAAGCGUUAUCCGGAUUUACUGGGUGUAAAGGGCGUGUAGGCGGGAAAGCAAGUCAGAUGUGAAAACCAUGGGCUCAACCUGUGGCCUGCAUUUGAAACUGUUUUUCUUGAGUACUGGAGAGGCAGACGGAAUUCCUAGUGUAGCGGUGAAAUGCGUAGAUAUUAGGAGGAACACCAGUGGCGAAGGCGGUCUGCUGGACAGCAACUGACGCUGAGGCGCGAAAGCGUGGGGAGCAAACAGGAUUAGAUACCCCAGUACC